CUGCCAGUAGUCAUAUGCUUGUCUCAAAGAGUAAGCCAUGCAUGUCUCAGUACAAGCCAAAUUAAGGUGAAACCGCGAAAGGCUCAUUAAAUCAGUUAUGGUUCCUUAGAUCGUACCCACAAUUACUUGGAUAACUGUGGUAAUUCUAGAGCUAAUACAUGCAAACAGAGCUCCGACCGGAGACGGAAGGAGUGCUUUUAUUAGAUCAAAACCAAUCGGUGGCGAGUUCGCUCGUCAUCGUACAACUUGGUGACUCUGAAUAACUUUACGCUGAUCGCACGGUCUCGCACCGGCGACGCAUCUUUCAAAUGUCUGCCUUAUCAACUGUCGAUGGUAGGUUCUGCGCCUACCAUGGUUGUAACGGGUAACGGGGAAUCAGGGUUCGAUUCCGGAGAGGGAGCCUGAGAAACGGCUACCACAUCCAAGGAAGGAAGCAGGCGCGCAAAUUACCCACUCCCGGCACGGGGAGGUAGUGACGAAAAAUAACGAUACGGGACUCAUCCGAGGCCCCGUAAUCGGAAUGAGUACACUCUAAACCCUUUAACGAGGAUCAAUUGGAGGGCAAGUCUGGUGCCAGCAGCCGCGGUAAU
rnacentral:rRNA from 1 species